rnacentral:rRNA from 1 species
CUCAGUUGAACGCUGCGGCAUGCCUACACUGCAGUCGUACGCGAAAGGGGGCAACCCCCGGUAGAGUGGCGAACGGGUGAGUAACACAUCGAAACGUGCCCAGUAGUGGGGGACAACCUCGAGAAAUCGAGGCUAAUACUGCCAUACGACCCACGGGUGAAAGCGGGGGACCGCAAGGCCUCGCGCUAUUGUAGCGGCCGAUGUCCGAUUAGCUAGUUGGUAGGGUAAGAGCCUACCAAGGCGACGAUCGGUAGCUGGUCUGAGAGGACGACCAGCCACACUGGGACUGAGACACGUCCCAGACUCCUACGGGAGGCAGCAGUGGGGAAUUUUGGACAAUGGGGGCAACCCUGAUCCAGCCAUGCCGCGUGCGGGAAGAAGGCCUUCGGGUUGUAAACCGCUUUCGGCCGGAACGAAAUCGUCGGGGAGAACAUCCCCGACGGAUGACGGUACCGGAAGAAGAAGCACCGGCUAACUACGUGCCAGCAGCCGCGGUAAUACGUAGGGUGCGAGCGUUAAUCGGAAUUACUGGGCGUAAAGCGUGCGCAGGCGGUUCGUUAAGACAGAUGUGAAAGCCCCGGGCUUAACCUGGGAACUGCGUUUGUGACUGGCGGGCUGGAGUGCGGAAGAGGGAGGUGGAAUUCCACGUGUAGCAGUGAAAUGCGUAGAGAUGUGGAGGAACACCGAUGGCGAAGGCAGCCUCCUGGUCUAGCACUGACGCUCACGCACGAAAGCGUGGGGAGCAAACAGGAUUAGAUACCCUGGUAGUCCACGCCCUAAACGAUGGCGACUAGUUGUUGGGGUAGAAGUACCUUAGUAACGCAGCUAACG